UGGGGAAUUUUGGACAAUGGGCGCAAGCCUGAUCCAGCCAUGCCGCGUGCGGGAAGAAGGCCUUCGGGUUGUAAACCGCUUUUGUCAGGGAAGAAAUCUUCUGAGUUAAUACCUCGGGAGGAUGACGGUACCUGAAGAAUAAGCACCGGCUAACUACGUGCCAGCAGCCGCGGUAAUACGUAGGGUGCGAGCGUUAAUCGGAAUUACUGGGCGUAAAGCGUGCGCAGGCGGUUUUGUAAGACAGAGGUGAAAUCCCCGGGCUCAACCUGGGAACUGCCUUUGUGACUGCAAGGCUUGAGUGCGGCAGAGGGGGGAUGGAAUUCCGCGUGUAGCAGUGAAAUGCGUAGAUAUGCGGAGGAACACCGAUGGCGAAGGCAAUCCCCUGGGCCUGCACUGACGCUCAUGCACGAAAGCGUGGGGAGCAAACAGGAUUAGAUACCCUGGUAGUCCACGCCCUAAACGAUGUCAACUGGUUGUUGGGAAGGUUCCUUCUCAGUAGCGUAGCUAACGCGUGAA
rnacentral:rRNA from 1 species